AUUGAACGCUGGCGGCAGGCCUAACACAUGCAAGUCGAGCGGAUGACGGGAGCUUGCUCCUUGAUUCAGCGGCGGACGGGUGAGUAAUGCCUAGGAAUCUGCCUGGUAGUGGGGGACAACGUUUCGAAAGGAACGCUAAUACCGCAUACGUCCUACGGGAGAAAGCAGGGGACCUUCGGGCCUUGCGCUAUCAGAUGAGCCUAGGUCGGAUUAGCUAGUUGGUGGGGUAAUGGCUCACCAAGGCGACGAUCCGUAACUGGUCUGAGAGGAUGAUCAGUCACACUGGAACUGAGACACGGUCCAGACUCCUACGGGAGGCAGCAGUGGGGAAUAUUGGACAAUGGGCGAAAGCCUGAUCCAGCCAUGCCGCGUGUGUGAAGAAGGUCUUCGGAUUGUAAAGCACUUUAAGUUGGGAGGAAGGGCAGUAAGCGAAUACCUUGCUGUUUUGACGUUACCGACAGAAUAAGCACCGGCUAACUCUGUGCCAGCCGCCGCCAUAAUAC
rnacentral:rRNA from 1 species